rnacentral:rRNA from 1 species
CAACCUGAACUCAAAUGUGAUUACCCGCUGAACUUAAGCAUAUCAUUUAGCGGAGGAAAAGAAACUAACAAGGAUUCCCAAAGUAACGGCGAGUGAACUGGGAGAAGCCCAACGCUGAAUCUUUCGAUAUGAAUAUCGUAAAGAAAUGUAGCGUAUAGGUAUAGUUGUCGGUUUGUUUAGUAUGUCCAAAGUCCCUUUGAUGGGGGCCAUACUCCAGAGAGGGUGCGAGACCUGUGCGGACAGUUGAACAUACCGUAUGAUUAUACCUCGGAGUCGGGUUGCUUGAAAGUGCAGCCUCAAGUUGGUGAUAAACUUCAUCUAAGGCUAAAUACGGACGCGAAUUCGAUAGCAAACAAGUACUGUGAAGGAAAGUUGCAAAGAACUUUGAAGAGAGAGUUCAAGAGAACGUGAAAUUGUUGAAGUGGAACCGGAGAGAGUUGACGUAGUCUGAUGGAUAAGUAAUAAAAGUAUCGCAUUCGUAUGUGAUCAAGUAUUAUGUAUGCCAUCAACGACUGUGCUGACAGCAUCGAUUACACAAUCCGAACUAUGUUGACAUGUUGCUCAUUCUAUUUCAUAGAAUGGUGUCUUGUGUUACGUGUCGUAAGGUUUGUUGUAUGUUGAUGUUGAUAUUAUAUUCUAUAAUUAUGUCAGCAUAAAAGUCAACCACCUCUCU